rnacentral:rRNA from 1 species
UACGUAGGGGGCAAGCGUUGUCCGGAAUCAUUGGGCGUAAAGAGCGUGUAGGCGGCCAGAAAAGUCCGCUGUGAAAACUCGAGGCUCAACUUCGAGCUGUCGGUGGAAACUUUCUGGCUAGAGUCCGGAAGAGGAGAAUGGAAUUCCUGGUGUAGCGGUGAAAUGCGCAGAUAUCAGGAAGAACACCAGUGGCGAAGGCGGCUCACUGGCCCGAUACUGACGCUGAGGCACGAAAGCGUGGGGAUCAAACAGG